GUUUAAUUCAGUACGUUUUGUAGGUAAAUGUGGACUUGAUUCAGUAAAAAUGUAACUUAAAUGACAAGCUAACAUCACCGAUCACCAGUAUGUUAAAUUGUCAUUUUUUUCAAUGGAGUUUGGUGUACCUAACGUUACUCACUCCUCUGCUGGAAAGUCCUUGACGGCUUUAUUGUGGCCGUCACCUUUGGAGCAAAAGCCUCUCACGCCAUUGCUUUUUGGUGAAGUGCUGCCCGGUAAAAGCUCUCCCUCUGGCCGGUGUCGGCUAGUUCUACGUCAUGGAUCCAUCAUUCCACGUCAUCCUGAAAAAUCCUGAACACAGAAAUGAGCAGAGAUGCCUCGUUAAGAGAGGCUGCUAAAGUUACAAAGUGCACAACAGGGUGGAUUUACUAUUGAUUAGGUACGAGGAUGCUGCAAUAGCAAAUCGUGCCUCGUUCCCAGAUGGACAGCGAGUGGAAAGCGACAGAUCAGAUGAAGAGAUGGAGACACAGCGAGGAGAAGAAGAGGAAAACACUGAACCACAGCCAACAGAGAGUGUGCAGGGAACAGCGAGCCAGGAGAAGGAGACCAAAGCCAGAGAGCGGCCGUUCUCAAUCCUGAUCCUGCACCAUGUCCUACAAUUCAAUAUAAAGUAUGAUGAGCAACAGCAACAGCAACACAUCCCAUUUCCACACACCUUAUCCAUUCAUCUCCCCUUUUGUCUCAGUUUGCAAGCCCUCAUCAGGUAAAAUAUAGGCCUCUUUUGCUGGUGAUACUCAACACACUGUGAAGCAAUUAUAAUGUGGUAGAAAUGCAUCUCUACAGAUAUAUUGUUGUUAGUACCAUGGCUGACCUGCAUAACAGCUGCAGUUCAUAUUGCUGUAAGAAGUGGUGGAGGUAAUUAAAAAGGGGAGGUAGAUAAAAACACCGAGAGGAAGCUGUUCGCUGCACGGUUUGAUGCGUCAUCAUAUUCACUUUAUGGAUUUUAUUGCCCUUGUUUUUGUUUUGUUAAAUUGUUUAAACUUUUUUGUUGUUGUUAGAGAUGUACACAGAUAAAUGAAUGUUUGGAUUGCUGCUUGUUUUAGUCACCCUAGCAUCUGCUGUUAUAAUGACAGGCAAUAAUUGCAAAUAUCAUUUUCAUGAUGGGGGCUACGCCGGCAGGAAUAUUGGAGAUGCUAUACGCUGACAGUAGAGAUGAGACAGCUGAGCGCGAUUCUGCACUGCUGAAUAAAACUGCUGUGAUUUUAA